GAACCGAACCCAGAGCCUCAGGCCUGCUAGCAAGUGCUCUAUCACAGAGCCACAACCCAGACUGGUAGGAUUUCUUUGUACCUAUUAAUCUGUGUGUGUGUGUGUGUGUGUGUGUGUGUGUGUAUGAAUGGGUGUUGGUACUGGGGACUGAAUCCCUUGGUGCUGUGACGUCUUAGCAUAGCAGUCUCCUGAGAGAUGUGGAAAGGAGUCCCAUCCCCUCAUCAUCUGAAUCUUUCAUUUGGUCCCUCCCCAUUUUCCACUGAAGCUGGCCCCUUCUGGUGUCAGAGGUGCCCCAUCUCAUGUCUGCUGAGUCUCCGAGUGACUCUGAGUUCCCUGCUCUUUGCCAGACUGAGCUGGUGCUGAGCACUCAGGUAUAGCGGGGCUGACGGAAUGAACCCUCAGAGACACAGGGCAAGACUCAAGGCCACGAGCCCUGAGCCUGGGGGUGGGGGGCGCCUACACCUGGAAGCACCACCUGGUGGCAGCCGUGCCUGAGUGCGCAGCCCUAGGAGACGGUGCUGUUGUUACUCCUGGUCCUCGGACGCAGAGGGUGAAGGCCGAGAUGGUCAGGAAGCGGGAGCAGCAGCCAGCCGAGGUCUGGGGGCCCCGGGGCCCUAGAACUUGGGCUCCGCACCUGUGUGGCUUCUGACCCGCCCCCAGGUGCCAUUGCCACAUGCCCGUGCAGGUGAGUCACGGGGCAAGAUGGUUCAGCG
rnacentral:lncRNA from 1 species